AAGAAAAAGAUGAAAUUCAAAAAGUGCGGGGCUAACUUCACACACGUUCCGGAAUCGCUUUCGGCGCGGCCGCUGGAUUGUCCUCGUCGGUAAAGUAGGAGCAUCGCAUCACCGUGUUCCGCUCGCGGUCGCGGGGCGGCAGGGGAGGGCGCCAGCGGGAGGAAGGAGUGGGGGGGAGAUUAUCUCGCGGUCAACUCGCGCGGUCAUCUUCACUCGUGUUGUGGCGCCGAGCAAGUGUGCACGGUCGUUCCUGAUUCCAUCCCGGUCAGUGCCGGCGCAAGUGGUGGGUGUGUACGUGGGAUCUUCUCGUUCUCGGUCGAGGCUAGUGCGGCACGCUCAGAGGAAGGAACGGCCCUCGAGUUACCUUCGCCGUAGGCACCAGUCAUGGGCGGAUAUGCAUGGGUUACAUUGGCUACGAACGAUGCCUACUCCUUGGGUGCACUGGUCCUGGCGCAUUCUCUACGCCGGGUCGGCACCAAGUACGAGCUGGCGUGUCUGGUCACUCCCGGAGUCACGGCAGUAAUGAGAGAAAAACUGGCGGCAGUAUUUUCGUUCGUACAGGAAGUUAACGUCCUCGAUUCCAAGGAUGAGGCGAACCUGGCCCUGUUGGCCAGACCCGAACUGGGCAUCACCUUUACCAAGUUGCAUUGUUGGCGGUUGACGCAGUACGAGAAAUGCGUAUUCGUUGACGCGGACACUCUUGUCGUGCGAAAUUGCGAUGAGUUAUUCGAGCGCGAGGAACUGUCUGCCGCGCCCGAUGUCGGCUGGCCUGACUGCUUUAAUUCCGGCGUAUUCGUAUUCAGACCAUCUCAACAAACGUUCGCAUCAAUCACCGCUUUCGCAGCCGCUAAGGGCUCGUUCGAUGGCGGCGAUCAGGGUUUGUUGAACAUGUACUUCAGCGACUGGGCCACUAAAGACAUCUCCAAGCAUCUACCGUUCAUUUACAACAUGUGCUCCACCGCGACGUACUCUUAUCUUCCUGCGUUUAAACAAUUCGGCGAGGACGUGCGAAUAAUACACUUCAUCGGCGUAACGAAACCGUGGUUACAGUAUUUCGAUACGUUAACCGGUAUCGUCCAACCACCGCCGGGAUCCGCGCAUUUACAACCGUUGUUGCAGCUGUGGUGGAACAUAUUCUGCGAGCACGUGCAUCCUCAGCUGUCGACUUCCAUGGCCACCAGCACAUUGGCUCCAAUUUGGCACGAAUUUACUCCCCCACCCUUCCGAUCCGUUCCCAAGAACUCCAUUUACUCCGACGAGACGAUUCGCGGUUCGUACGACGUUUUCUCGCAAAUACCGGAUUUCUCCGACUUUAAAGACCCUUGGGAGAACUAUUGCCCGCAGAACGAUUCGUUUCUGAUCGGUAACGUCGCGUCGGAUGACAAGAGCGGAAAUUGUUAUUGCGGAGCCGGACGCGAGCCGGAAUUGAGCCUCUCUUCCCAACACGAUCAGCAAUUUUAUUACUCGCAAUCGUACAGCGAGCAGCAUUCUUCGUUUGCACCCGCGCAAAAUCACAGCCAGCAACAAUAUGUUAUGCAUAACGACUACAAUCAACAGACAACUUCCUAUUCCGGAGAGAACCAUAGUUACGGACAUUCCGUACAGCACACUCAACAUCAUCACUGGCAGCAACAAGGUAGUGAACAGAGACAUCACGACGAGCAGCACGAACACAAGCAUAAUGAACAGAUACAUCAACCCCAGCACGAACAGAGACAUCAUCAUGAACAACAUGAUCAUUAUAACGAGCAGAGGCAAGAUCAGCACUUCGGGCAAGUCCAGCACCAUGAUUAUCACAGGGGCGAAGCGAACCAUCAGCGCCAAUCGGCUCGCGAGCAUUAUACCGAGUCUCAUUCGCAACCUCCCGAAGUGAGGCACGAGGAUCACGCGCGGCACCAUGCUAAUGAUAACCGAGCUAGUCAUCAAAGCGCAAACUAUCCGCAUCACGCCAUUUCGCAAAGUAGUCACGUUAAGAGCGGUGAGCAAACGUUGGGAGCCGCGAAUACGGACACGCGAAUACGGAGAAUCGACUCCCUGUUUCCUACUCCCGCACCCUGUACAGAUCUCCACAAUGUAGCCACGCGAUCCGACCCGAACGUAACGGAACAUCUAGACAGUGCAAAUGCCGGUAUCGCUGGUGCCUUGGCUCAAAUAACGCUGGGCGAAGCGAGGAGCGCCGCGCAGGUAGCCCUGGAGGAGCACCUGAGGAAGCAGAGCUGGGAGCAGGGACAGAUCGACUACAUGGGUCGCGACAGCUUCGACAAUAUAUGGAAGAAGAUCUGCGAGACGCUUUCCCUUGCACCGCAACGUCAGCCAACGCCGCCCAAAGAGGAGGAUACCGCUACAUCCAAGGAAAGCACUGCUCUUGCUGAAUCUGCUCCAGCUGAAUCUGCGCCUGCAGACGUUGAAGUGACUAAACCAGCCGGAACAGAGGACAGCAACUAACAGAUCCUGGCGUCAUAGCAUUGCUGCGUCUUGUAUUGUCGUUUUGCUUUAAUGGGUUGAGGCGGAUAAGGACCCAACGCAGCCUUUAAUUUGCCAACUUCCUGAGGAGAAGCUUCCAGCAGCGCAAAUCACCGAGCAAAAAGCUUCCGAGGAAAGUAUCGCGUCACAAGAAGCCACCGCUAAAGUAUCCAG
rnacentral:misc_RNA from 1 species